UACCAGCACCCCGAGUGGUCGGGACGAUUAUUGGGCCUAAGCAUCCGUAGCCGGUUUUACAAGUCCUCCGUUAAAUCCAACUGCUUAACAGAUGGGCCGCGGAGGAUACUAUAAGACUAGGAGGCAGGAGAGGCAAGCGGUACUCGAGUGGGAUAGGGGUAAAUCCGUUGAUCCAUUGAAGACCACCAGUGGCGAAGGCGGACGUUGCCAGAAUGGCGCUCGACGGUGAGGGAUGAAACUGGGGGAGCCAAAGCCGGGAUUAAGCAAACCCGGAG
rnacentral:rRNA from 1 species